rnacentral:lncRNA from 1 species
CUUUCUUCUGAAAUUUCUUCCUUCUUGUUCUUUUUCUCAGGAGAAACCAGGAGAAGCAGUCCUAGGGCAGUCUCCAGGCCAGCUUUCCCUAAUAAGAAGGCAGAGCUCCUCUUCACCCAGACUUCAGACCUAUAGAGGCAGCCUGGGGUCCUGGGAUGCCCUUGCACUCAGAGAUGUCCUCAGAGUCCUAGGGAGUUGGAGGAUAACUAGGAGGAAGCUGUUCGUGGCUGGCGAUGGGGUCUAUACAUUCUUGUCCAUCUCAGUGCUGUCUAAACAAGGUAAAGUCGUGUCCACAGCAUGGACUCUGAAGCUGGACCUUGGAAUAAAUUACUCAGCCUUUCUGUGCCUUCAUGUCUUCAUCUGGAGAAUGAAGCUCACAAAUUCUAGGCUACACCGUAAGAGUUCUUUAAUGAAAAGCUGAAGGAUGAAAUCCGGGGUUGUUCAACAUGG